GGAGAGAGCACUGGGCCUGAGUCAGGAAGACACAUCUUCCUGAGUUCAAAUCCAGCCUCAGACACUUACUAGCUGUGUGACCCUGGGCAAUUCAUUUGACCCUGUGUGCCUCAGUUUCCUCAUCUAUAUGAGUUGGAGAAGGCAAUGACAAUACAAUGUCUUUGCCAAGAAAACCCCAAAUGGGUUCUCGAAGAGGCAGGCAUGACUGAAAAUGACUGAAUACUACCAACAACAUACCUGAUUUAUGCUCAUUCGGCCUUUGCUAAGAGCCUCAGGGGAGGGUUCUUCCCUCCUACCUGGGGACUGUUCUCAUUGUUGAGAAGUUUCUCCUGGCAUCCAGCCUAAGCUGGCUUCUUGGCAUCUUCCCCCUUUGCUCCUGCCUCUGACCUCUGGAACCCAACAGAAUAAAAUCCAUUCCUUCCUUCAGGUACUUCAAGGCAACUCUCAGUCCCUUCCGAGUCUUCCUUUCUCCAUGCUAAAUAAGCUUGAUUCCUUUAAACUCAGCCUUCUAUGACACUCUCUCCAGACUCUUCCCCAUGACCUCCUCUGGCUUCUCAAAGUCUAUCCUAAAAAGUGGUGCUAAGUUGGAACAUGAGCACCAGAAGUAUCUCUGAAUUAAGAUUGGCACAAUGCUUUCUAUCCUCAAUCUCAUUCAUCCCUCACAACCCUGGGAGGUGUCAUCAUCAUCAUCAUCACCCACAUUUUAUAGAUAAGGAAACUGAGGCCCAAAGAGAGGCAGUCACCUGCCAGGGGUCAGUGGCAAUUGAGCUCAGAGCCCAGGGCCUUAGAGGGUCCAGUAUUUUUUCUAUCUGCCCAGGACUUUUUGAUGAAAAGAGACAGACAGGACAGGGUGGGUGCCAGUCGUCAUAGCAACAACAACCAUGACAUCAUAGAGGGAGUCACAACUGGGCAGGUUGGCCAAGCCAGCCAAGAUUUCUUUAGGUUCGAGGCCCUGGAAGUAGUUGAGGCACGGAGUUAUGAUGGCACUACAAUGAGACUUGUCUUUUCAUGCUUGGAGAAACAAGGUUGCUCCAAUUUCCACUGGAGGGACCAGGCAGGAAACCAGAUGACCCCCAUGGCCAAACCUGUGGAGAACUCCCCCGGUGUCUGUGGUGCUAAAGGGCUCUGGGGUGGCCCUUCAGGGCCUCAGACCAUUCUGGCAACCACCUCCUUCUCCGAGCAUGCUCUUUGUGGUGGAGGAGUGGCAUUUGGUAAGUCCUGGGGUGGGAGAUCACUGUGAGGCUUUGAAUAGGCCAGUGCUUCACAGGCUAU
rnacentral:lncRNA from 1 species